rnacentral:rRNA from 1 species
GACGAACGCUGGCGGCGUGCUUAACACGUGCAAGUCGAACGAUGAACCCGGAGCUUGCUCCGGUGGAUUAGUGGCGAACGGGUGAGUAACACGUGAGUAACCUGCCCUUGACUCUGGGAUAACUGCGGGAAACUGUAGCUAAUACCGGAUACGACCCUCGGCGGCAUCGCCAGGGGGUGGAAAGAAUUUCGGUCAAGGAUGGACUCGCGGCCUAUCAGCUAGUUGGUGAGGUAACGGCUCACCAAGGCGACGACGGGUAGCCGGCCUGAGAGGGUGACCGGCCACACUGGGACUGAGACACGGCCCAGACUCCUACGGGAGGCAGCAGUGGGGAAUAUUGCACAAUGGGGCAACCCUGAUCCAGCAAUGCCGCGUGAGUGAAGAAGGCCUUCGGGUUGUAAAGCUCUUUUGUCAGGGAAGAAACACCGGCUCUAACACAGUCCGGGAAUGACGGUACCUGAAGAAUAAGCACCGGCUAAC